UUUUUUUUUUUUAUUAUUUUUUAGUCUUUUUAUAAAUUAAUAAAUAAAAAUAUUUUGUUGGGGUGAUAUUGAAAUUUAAUAAACUUUCAAAAUUUAAUAACAUUAAUUUAUGAAUUUAUGAUCCUUUAUUAUUGAUUAAAAAUUUAAGUUACCUUGGGGAUAACAGCGUAAUUAUUUUGGAGAGUUCUUAUUGAUAAAAUAGAUUGCGACCUCGAUGUUGGAUUAAGAUUAAUUUUG
rnacentral:rRNA from 1 species